rnacentral:rRNA from 1 species
GAUGAACGCUGGCGGCGUGCCUAAUACAUGCAAGUCGAGCGAACAGACGAGGAGCUUGCUCCUCUGACGUUAGCGGCGGACGGGUGAGUAACACGUGGAUAACCUACCUAUAAGACUGGGAUAACUUCGGGAAACCGGGGCUAAUACCGGAUAAUAUAUUGAACCGCAUGGGUCAAUAGUGAAAGACGGUUUUGCUGUCACUUAUAGAUUGAUCCGCGCCGCAUUAGCUAGUUGGUAAGGUAACGGCUUACCAAGGCGACGAUGCGUAGCCGACCUGAGAGGGUGAUCGGCCACACUGGAACUGAGACACGGUCCAGACUCCUACGGGAGGCAGCAGUAGGGAAUCUUCCGCAAUGGGCGAAAGCCUGACGGAGCAACGCCGCGUGAGUGAUGAAGGUCUUCGGAUCGUAAAACUCUGUUAUUAGGGAAGAACAAAUGUGUAAGUAACUAUGCACGUCUUGACGGUACCUAAUCAGAAAGCCACGGCUAACUACGUG